rnacentral:tRNA from 1 species
AGUCUCGUGGCCGAGUGGCGAGGCAGAGCUCUGCAACAGCUCUUACAGCGGUUCGAGUCCGCUCGAGACGU